rnacentral:rRNA from 1 species
UACGAAGGGGGCUAGCGUUGCUCGGAAUCACUGGGCGUAAAGGGUGCGUAGGCGGGGCUUUAAGUCAGGGGUGAAAUCCUGGAGCUCAACUCCAGAACUGCCUUUGAUACUGAGGAUCUUGAGUUCGGGAGAGGUGAGUGGAACUGCGAGUGUAGAGGUGAAAUUCGUAGAUAUUCGCAAGAACACCAGUGGCGAAGGCGGCUCACUGGCCCGAUACUGACGCUGAGGCACGAAAGCUAGGGGAGCAAACAGG